UAGGGAAUCUUCGGCAAUGGACGGAAGUCUGACCGAGCAACGCCGCGUGAGUGAAGAAGGUUUUCGGAUCGUAAAGCUCUGUUGUAAGAGAAGAACGAGUGUGAGAGUGGAAAGUUCACACUGUGACGGUAUCUUACCAGAAAGGGACGGCUAACUACGUGCCAGCAGCCGCGGUAAUACGUAGGUCCCGAGCGUUGUCCGGAUUUAUUGGGCGUAAAGCGAGCGCAGGCGGUUAGAUAAGUCUGAAGUUAAAGGCUGUGGCUUAACCAUAGUAGGCUUUGGAAACUGUUUAACUUGAGUGCAAGAGGGGAGAGUGGAAUUCCAUGUGUAGCGGUGAAAUGCGUAGAUAUAUGGAGGAACACCGGUGGCGAAAGCGGCUCUCUGGCUUGUAACUGACGCUGAGGCUCGAAAGCGUGGGGAGCAAACAGGAUUAGAUACCCUGGUAGUCCACGCUGUAAACGAUGAGUGCUAGGUGUUAGACCCUUUCCGGGGUUUAGUGCCGUAGCUAACGCAUUAAGCACUCCGCCUGGGGGAGUACGACCGCAAGGUUGA
rnacentral:rRNA from 1 species